GAUGAACGCUGGCGGCGUGCCUAAUACACGCAAGUCGAGCGGACAUUCCGGAGUGCUUGCACUCUGGAGGUUUCGCCGCGGGGGGGAGAGUAACACGUAGACAACCCGCCCAUAAGACCGGGAUCACAGUCGGAAACGAACGCUAAUACCGGAUAAACGGACUUCUCGCAGUAGGAGAGCGAGAAAGGGUGAUCCAGCUACCGCUAAUGGAUGGGCCCGCGGCGCAUUAGCUAGUUGGUGGGGUAACGGCCUACCAAGGCGACGAUGCGUAGCCGACCUGAGAGGGUGAUCGGCCACACUGGAACUGAGACACGGUCCAGACUCCUACGGGAGGCAGCAGUAGGGAAUCUUCCGCAAUGGACGCAAGUCUGACGGAGCAACGCCGCGUGAGUGAGGAAGGCCUUCGGGUCGUAAAGCUCUGUUGCCAGGGAAGAACGGGCAGGUGAGUAACUACCCUUGCCAUGACGGUACCUGAGAAGAAAGCCCCGGCUAACUACGUG
rnacentral:rRNA from 1 species